UUUUGUUGUAUUAAGGUGGCUCCCUAGAGUUGUAAAGAAACAACAGCGAAAAAUCAAAACUUUGCAAUGACGCAAAUUAUUUGCUAUUUAUGUGAAAUGGGGAUUUUUUAAGUAUAAACGCUUGUGUAAUCUUUAUACUUCAAGCAUAAUCGUUCGAGAGAAACAAAUUGUGUGUUCCUAUGGUAACAAUGUGGCCCAAACGAUAGCAGACACAGAUCAAAUGUAGGGAGCCACCUUAAAGGAUUAGUGUCAGGGUCAUGCAUUGCGGGCUUUUGUUAUUGCUUACAUUUCACUCAAAUACAACAAAUAGCGAUAAAAAUACCUUGUUUGGUACAUUUCUGAUAAAAAUCAGACGAAAAGAGCAAGGAUUAUAAAAGCAUGGUUUAAAUAUAUGACGGUUGCAAAAAUUUUCCAGAUCAUCUAAUCUAUUCGUCCUGAAAAAUGGCCGCCAGCAGGAGUUUGAGCUCGCGAAUUCCUGUUAU